rnacentral:rRNA from 1 species
GAUGAACGCUGGCGGCGUGCUUAAUACAUGCAAGUCGAACGGAAAGGCCCAAGCUUGCUUGGGUACUCGAGUGGCGAACGGGUGAGUAACACGUGGGUGAUCUGCCCCGCACUUCGGGAUAAGCCUGGGAAACUGGGUCUAAUACCGGAUAGGACAGUGGUUUGGAUGCCAUUGUGGAAAGUUUUUUCGGUGUGGGAUGAGCUCGCGGCCUAUCAGCUUGUUGGUGGGGUAAUGGCCUACCAAGGCGUCGACGGGUAGCCGGCCUGAGAGGGUGUACGGCCACAUUGGGACUGAGAUACGGCCCAGACUCCUACGGGAGGCAGCAGUGGGGAAUAUUGCACAAUGGGCGCAAGCCUGAUGCAGCGACGCCGCGUGGGGGAUGACGGCCUUCGGGUUGUAAACUCCUUUCGCUAGGGACGAAGCGUUAUGUGACGGUACCUAGAGAAGAAGCACCGGCUAACUACGUG